GAUUAUUGAAAUAUAAACUGAACUGCAAUUUGUUGGAUUCAAAACUUGGACAGUGUAUUAUACUAAACUAUUCGGUUCUUAUCAUUACAAAAUGAUUUGCUGUUGUCUAUCCUUGUGCAGAUCUCUACAAAUUUUUAUUCUCCAAAUAUGAAUGUUGUCAAUGAGAACUUCCUCCCUCUGCUCAAACGCCUUGAUGACUGCAUAGCGUAAGGGGAUGCUAUUUACAUCAUAUAUAUUUAUGUAUGUAGAAAACAAUCCACAGUAUGCUGAAUCUGGCGUUUACUUACUCAAAUUUUGACAACUGCAGUCUCGAGCAUUGGGUAUGAUUCGCUCUCAUGUACUUUCUGUACUCAAAAGUGUGU